CGGCCCAUUCCUACUAUAUUUGUUGUGAUAUCUUAGGUUUUUAAGUUGUUUUUAUGUUAUUUUUUGUAAAAUAUUUUAGUUUUUUUAUGUUUUCUUAUGGUAUCAAAAAUUUGUUUUUUGAACUGGAUUAGUACCCAGGUAAUCAAAAUUUAAUAAUUCGGGAGUAAAGUUUUGUUUAAACCGAAAAAAUAUUGACUGACUUUAGAUUUUUCUUUGGAACAUGUGAUUUGCUGGAGAGCCCUCUUUUUUGGUGAGUUUUAUUGGCACAUGUAUGAUUGUUUAGUUUUUAUUUUAUUUUGUAAUGCUUUUUUGUUUUGGCAUUUAAAACAGAUAUAUACUUGGCUUAUGAACUCAUGUUUCAUGUGUUACUAUUAUAAAUUUUUUUUGGAUUAAUUUUUUAUUUUUUUUUUGAAAUUGGAAAAGAAAGUAAUUUUUUUUUGAUGUUUUAAUGAAUUUAAUGAAUAGAGUGGUACAAAAACCCCCCCCCAAUAUAAA
rnacentral:rRNA from 1 species